ACAUCGGUGGUGCAGUCGUAGCACGCGUCCCUGGUAUGGAUGAGGCGCGGAUUCGACUCCCGUCUGAAGUU